GACGUAGGGCGCAAGCGUUGUCCGGAUUUAUUGGGCGUAAAGAGCGUGUAGGCGGCCAGACAAGUCUGCUGUGAAAACUCGAGGCUCAACCUCGAGCUGUCGGUGGAAACUGUCUGGCUAGAGUCCGGAAGAGGAGAGUGGAAUUCCUGGUGUAGCGGUGAAAUGCGCAGAUAUCAGGAAGAACACCUAUGGCGAAGGCAGCUCUCUGGGACGGUACUGACGCUGAGACGCGAAAGCGUGGGGAGCGAACAGG
rnacentral:rRNA from 1 species